GACGAACGCUGGCGGCGUGCUUAACACAUGCAAGUCGAACGGAAAGUCCCUGCUUUUGUGGGGUGCUCGAGUGGCGAACGGGUGAGUAACACGUGAGUAACCUGCCCUUGACUGUGGGAUAACUUCAGGAAACUGGGGCUAAUACCGGAUAGGAGCUCCUGCUGCAUGGUGGGGGUUGGAAAGUUUCGGCGGUUGGGGAUGGACUCGCGGCUUAUCAGCUUGUUGGUGGGGUAGUGGCUUACCAAGGCUUUGACGGGUAGCCGGCCUGAGAGGGUGACCGGCCACAUUGGGACUGAGAUACGGCCCAGACUCCUACGGGAGGCAGCAGUGGGGAAUAUUGCACAAUGGGCGGAAGCCUGAUGCAGCAACGCCGCGUGCGGGAUGACGGCCUUCGGGUUGUAAACCGCUUUCGCCUGUGACGAAGCGUGAGUGACGGUAAUGGGUAAAGAAGCACCGGCUAACUACGUG
rnacentral:rRNA from 1 species